GAUGAACGCUGGCGGCGUGCCUAAUACAUGCAAGUCGAGCGAACAGACGAGGAGCUUGCUCCUCUGACGUUAGCGGCGGACGGGUGAGUAACACGUGGAUAACCUACCUAUAAGACUGGGAUAACUUCGGGAAACCGGAGCUAAUACCGGAUAAUAUAUUUAACCGCAUGGUUCAAUAGUUAAAGACGGUUUUGCUGUCACUUAUAGAUGGAUCCGCGCCGCAUUAGCUAGUUGGUAAGGUAACGGCUUACCAAGGCGACGAUGCGUAGCCGACCUGAGAGGGUGAUCGGCCACACUGGAACUGAGACACGGUCCAGACUCAUACGGGAGGCAGCAGUAGGGAAUCGUCCGCAAUGGGCGAAAGCCUGACGGAGCAAAGCCGCGUGAGUGAUGAAGGUCUUCGGAUAGUAAAACUCUGUUAUUAGGGAAGAACAAAUGUGUAAGUAACUAUGCACGUCUUGAAGGUACCUAAUCAGAAAGCCACGGCUAACUACGUG
rnacentral:rRNA from 1 species